AAUCAUGUUUAAGAUUGACAGGUGUCCAAUAGCCAGCUUUUAUCUUACUCAGAUUGUUUGAAGAAACAAGAACAUUUAAAGGCUAGAAAACAUAAAGUACUCUGAUUCUUACGUGUUCAGUGAGUGCAAGGUUUGCUUCAAAAAAGGAUCUGAUUGUACCAAUAUCUUCCCAGUAAUCAUUGAAUAAGUAAGCCUGCAAAAUCAGGUGAAUAAUGUUUAGUCACCAUAGAGGUUGAAGUUAAGCUGUUUAGGAGACCAUAACCAGAAUAGUGAAUUGCCUUAUGAUGGAAGAAUGCUUAGUCACCAUAGAGGUUGAAGUUAAGCUGUUUAGGAGACCAUAACCAGAAUAGUGAAUUGCCUUAUGAUGGAAACAAGAAGAUUGGAUGUAGUAGUAAAUUUUUUGAACAAACAGAUCAAGGUCUUGUGUAAAUGCCAACCAGAAAUGAAGUGGUACAAACCUUGACACAGAAUUCUUUGGCAGAGGCAGGAAUAAUCUCUGAACCAAAGUCAUUUGCUGUCGGAAAACGCCAUCUAAAAGGAGACAAAAAGUAAGCAGUUAAUGAUCUUCUUUUACCUGACAUCUUCAGCAUGUUACUGUAGAUGAAGCAUGAAGAAACUCAAAUGUUGAUAUAAGAUUUUAAAUGGCCCCUUUCUGUUUUAUAAUACCCCUAUUAGCUGGAUGAAUAUUAUUUCUUGUUUUUUCUGGCCCUCUUUCUCCAAAAUUUCUAUCAUUUGCAUGUUGACCAUGACACCCUCUAAAAUAAGGUACUAUAGAAGAAGAAGCUCGUUACAUACCUUAAGAGAUUUAGGAGAAUCUCCUUCUUGAAGACGUAAACUCCCAUUGAAGCAAUGUAAGGUUUCUUUUUAGCCUCCUCUGGGGAUAAUCCCAGAACAGAUGUGUCUACUGCCUGAAGUACUUGUUGUCAAUUGAUUGCAGCAACUUAAAAUUUUUGAAGUAGGUUAAGCUCUGAGACUGUCAAAUUUUCGAGAAUUACCAUCGCCUUCAAGUCAUCUCCUUUUGGCUUUUCGCUGAAGGACAGGACCCGUCCUGUGUCAUCAAUUUUCAUCAAGCCAAAAUCUGAAGCACGUCUAUCAUGAAAACAUACAAGUGAUUCAGUAGAAGAAAUUAUGUUUUGUAGUGAUUAUCAAAGUAAUACUUGACAUAGCGCAUGCCAUUGCUGAGAGGAAGAAUAGCCUAUCUAGGUUUUUGAUUAUCCAUCUUAAACCACCUGUCGUCUAUUUGCAAGCUUGAUAUGGUAAUGUCUGCACCACUUUUCCUAUGACUCUGUCAAUAAGUGGAGAUAGAUUUUUUCACUUUUGAGUAAUAGACAAUCUUUCCAAAAAAAUGAUAUCAAGCAAGGUAUAUAUUAGUCUAUAGCCUUACCUGAACAAAGUCCAUGUAGUCCAUUCUAUACAAGUGAUCUCCAGAGAGAAUGAGCACAUCUUCUAUGUCCUUGCUUCUUUGAUCCUUCAGUUAUGAAAAUCAAUGUGAAUUUCAUUAACUGAUGUCUAUAUUUAAGCCAUAUGAUGAGAUAAUUGUGGUGAUGGUCAUAGCUGAGCGUGGAGAACAUAUUGCUUGUAUUUACAUGCUGUUAAGUUCUGGAUAAUUGUGGUGAUGGUCAUAGCUGAGCUUGGAGAACCUAUUGCUUGUAUUUACAUGCUGUUAAGUUCUGUAUUUUUCGCAUGUGAUUAAGUUUUCCUGGAAGUAAACUGACACAGGUCAGUUAACUUGGUCUGGCAUAUGUAAUGUUUUUCAUUGUGUAAGUUACUGCUGGACCUUGUUUGGUCUAAGGUUGAGUUGUGGUCAUCUACAACUGAAAUCUCCUGAUAUAACAUAUGAAUAUAUGCAUUUCGAUGCCUCUUCAGAUCAAUUGUUACAUAUUGAAGAAAAACAUGGGAGGAAGGGCAUGCUAAUGCAAACUGGUAUAUGAUAUAUGAGGAAGACAAAACUGUUGCAGUACAGGAAUCUGGAGUUAUUUUCACUAUUGAGAUGAACUCCGGAAAUUGCAAUGCAAUGUGACCAGGAGAUCAGAUACAAAGGAGAGUUGGU
rnacentral:lncRNA from 1 species